rnacentral:rRNA from 1 species
AUUGAACGCUGGCGGCAUGCUUUACACAUGCAAGUCGAACGGUAACAGGCCUUCGGGUGCUGACGAGUGGCGAACGGGUGAGUAAUGCAUCGGAACGUGCCCAGAGGUGGGGGAUAACGCAGCGAAAGCUGUGCCAAUACCGCAUGUGAUCUGAGGAUGAAAGCGGGGGACCAGGCAGCAAUGUUUGGCCUCGCGCCUUUGGAGCGGCCGAUGUCAGAUUAGGUAGUUGGUGGGGUAAAGGCCUACCAAGCCGACGAUCUGUAGCUGGUCUGAGAGGACGACCAGCCACACUGGGACUGAGACACGGCCCAGACUCCUACGGGAGGCAGCAGUGGGGAAUUUUGGACAAUGGGCGCAAGCCUGAUCCAGCAAUGCCGCGUGCGGGAAGAAGGCCUUCGGGUUGUAAGCCGCUUUUGUACGGAACGAAAAGGCUCUGGCUAAUACCUGGGGCUGAUGACGGUACCGUAAGAAUAAGCACCGGCUAACUACGUG